rnacentral:tRNA from 1 species
GCGGGCGUAGCUCAAUGGAUAGAGCAACGGUCUUCUAAACCGUAGGUUGUGGGUUCGAGCCCCGCCGCCCGCGCCA